UCCGUGUUUCCACGGCAGUCCCGUUAGAGUGCCGUCUUGCGACUGGCAACUAACAGCAAGGGUUGCGCUCGUUCAAGGACUUAACCCGACGUCUCACGACACGAGCUGACGACAGCCAUGCAGCACCUGUGUAACCGUUCGUAUUUCUACGAAACCCGAUAUUUCUACCAGUAGCGAUUACAUGUCAAACCCAGGUAAGGUUCCUCGCGUAGUGUCGAAUUAAACCACAUGUUCCACCGCUUGUGCGGACCCCCGUCAAUUUCUUUGAGUUUUAAUCUUGCGACCGUACUUCCCAGGUGGAUCACUUAACGCGUUAGCUACGACACGGACUCUGCUAUGCAAAACCCACAUCUAGUGAUCAUCGUUUACAGCGUGGACUAC
rnacentral:misc_RNA from 1 species